UAUGCAAUUUGAAGCUUUAGUAAAUGUAUUUGAUAGAAAAUAAAUUAAGACGAUUUCUUUUUUAUUGAAGCUGAGGAAAAAAAAUAAGACUUAGAAACCAAUUGAUUUCAACAUCUGUCAUGUUUGGACAGACUGUUUAAACCACAGUCUGAAUACAAAUUGAGUUUUGGCUGGAAAACAAGUUUUUAUUUCAGAGGUAGUUUACCGUGAAAACAUUUUGAGGCUAAAUGUUUUUUACCUUUUCCAAACAUUUAUGCUGAUUCAAGCAUGGGCAAGUUUAAAAGCGGAAAGGAGAAAAGACUUGGAAAAAGAAGAAUUGAAGAUACUAGUGAGAAAUUUGAGCCCCUGUGAUCCCAUCAUGAAGCCUGUGCAUUUGAUUUCUCCUUUCCCUACACCACUCUUAUCAAAUCAAUUUGAGGGUCAAAGGGGAUUAAAAGCCUGGCUUUUUCACUUCCUACUGGUGUGUCUGAAGUACACUGCUUGAAGUCUUUGAUUCUCAGUGUUUUCAUGUGUAAUAUGGCGUUACUAAAGCCUACUUCAAGGUCAUUGUGAAAAGUAAAUGAGGAAAUGCAAUUGAUUCAUAGUAAUUGUAUACUAGAUGUUUCUUUUCCACCCCUAUUUCCCCAUUAGCCCCUCAAUAGCUCUGUUUUAUUGCAUAAGUACUUAGAAAAAUGGACUUUCUGCAGCUUGGUCAAUCAGAAUGAACUUAGCCACAGCAGGACUAGGAAUAUGGGAUGCUAUUUUGAACAAAAACAUUAGAAGUAGCUUACACUAAGUCGUACUGACUCAUAUCAAGUUUCAGUAGAGUUGUUCAGCUAUAGUCAGCCUCUUGGUAUGGUGUACUGGGUUGGUGUUAGUACAGUGCCUAGCACAUCAUAGGGGCCAAAUAAAUGUUUGUUGAAUGAAGGUUUACAGAAUCAGCAUUCAUUAACUCAUAGAAACUUUUAUGGGCCAGAAACCCCUUAGAAUGUACAGUCUUUAGUUGUUUUUUAUGAUUAUAUACAUGUCAUGUAUUCUUAAAAAGUUAUAUUUGUUUAUAUGAAAGCUUCUCGAUAACACAAUUAUACACUUUGUUAAAUUAUUAUAAAAUUAAGAAUAAUUGAAGCUGAAACCUGAAACUGUAGAAAUGUAAGUUCAAAGACACCUCUGAAGCUGUUUUUCUUACUCUCAUUUUUUCGAAAACAAUUUUUCAGUUUUCAGAAUCAUAAUGUUUACCAUUUUAAACUAUGUGAUUAUACAAUUCAACUAUAAAGCUUAAUGUUUUAUAUAAAAUUGCUUAAAAUCAGACCUGAUAUUAUAUUAGAGAAUAAAUAGUCUGUAAAAUAGCCUGCACAUCUCGACCGUUAUUUAACCAUGGUUUGCUGAGACUUAUAAAGGAACAGAAAAGGA
rnacentral:lncRNA from 1 species